AUAUAUAUUGUGUCUUUGUAAAGGAUGGCGGCAUCCAAGUGAAUACAAGGAAGCUUUUGCUGGACGAGCUGGAUUAUGACGAGACUGGACCUAACCGUAGACAUGACCCGAGGGGGAGACCUGGUGUUGGUGGCUACAAGAACCCUUGAAUUCUCUUGAGCCAUUAUCUAUAUAUUAUGUAUCCUCUGGAGGUUUUGUUCAUGCAUGAUCAGUCAGGAGAUAUAAUAUUGCAUUUCAAAACUAUCUUUAUGUAGUAGAUAAUAUGCUAGCUAGCUAGUUUCCCACGAUUGUGGGACUAAGUUAUGGUUUUACGUUGCUGGCACGUACUGGUGCUUUAUGUAUGAACUUCUCUGCGUCUUUCUCAUCUUAUAAUAUUGUAAUAAUAAAUAAUGAAGUUGGCUAGCUUUUGCUCCUCCUUACACGAGAGUUUCCAGCAAAUGGAAGCUUAAGAGAUAAGCUUAACAUGCAUGGUUGCAUUUUUACUGGUUUACAAGUUUGAGCUGUACUGGAUUUGCCGAUCGAUCAGCAGUUGAAAAGAGCCAUGAUGACGACCAAUUCACUUAUAACUUCAUUGCUUGGCUAGCUAGCUAGUACCUAUCAUAUAUAUAUAGAAAUGGUGUUAUUAUAUAAUUCUCGAUGAGAGUACUUGUUCAAAGUUGACUGGAAGAAAUUCAUAAAACAGUAUUAUAUUCGAGGAUCAUUCUCCGUAUAUAAAAAUUAAUAUCCAUGAGAGAUUUUUAUUAAUACAAGGGUGAGAUCACGAAUAAGGAAAUGAAUGUAUUGAAGAAUAAUAUAAAUAAUAUAUUUAAAUUUUAUUUAAUAAUUUAAAAUUUAAAAUUUAAAAUUAAGAUGAUUUUUUAAUAUAAUAUCAAAGUAUAAAUCUCAUCAUCUUCAUUCUAUUUAAUAAAAUUAAACAUAAAAUAAUAUAUUUCAAGUUCAAAGUUAAGUUGACCAGAAGAAAUUCAUAAGAUAGUAUUAUAUUGAAGGUAUUCUCCAUAAAGAAAAUUACAUUAUUCAUGUGAGAUUUAUAUUAAUUCGUGGGGUGAGAUCAAGAAGAGCUUUGAAUAAAUUAUAGAAUAAUACAAAUAAUAUAUUAGAUCUUAAUUAAUAAUUAAAAUUUUUAAGUUAAGUUAUGUUUUUUAUAUUAUUAUAAAUUUCACUAUUUUUAUUUUAUUUAAUAUAAUUAAGUAAAAGGUAAUGUAAAUAUAUUUAAGUUUUAAGUCUAAAUAAAUUUUAUUUGAAAAAAUAUAUUAAAAAAUAAUAUAACUUUUAAAUGAUAUCAUCGCUCAGGAAACAUAAUUUAUUUCUUGAUUUGGGCAUUUGUCACAUGGGUUAGAAGUAGAAAGACGAACCGCUCUUAAUAUCUGAUUUGAUUUUUUGUAAAAGUUUUCUUCCUUCCAAUGACUAGCUAUCCAUUGCCAUGAGAAUUGUAAAUUCAGAGCAUCUUCCCUCAAUAACAUGUUCCUGUGCACCUUUCCAAGUCUUCUGUGCCGCCAUUAAAGCAUACGGUGCCUCCGUUAUGAUGGGUUUUCCAUGGUCUUAGAACGUCCACUGCAAAAACAUACUUUACACCCACUUCAUCACUAAAACCAUUUGAAAAUGAUAGAUUUUCUAUCCAUGAAGAGAAGAUCAUUGUAGGAUGCUUUACAGCAACUGUUUCCAGCAAAAGAUUUUGACUCUUUUUAAUCACAAUUUCCCUAGCUAGGAAAAUCCAAGGUUUGUAUCUUAAUUAUUUGCAAUUCUAAGUGAGUGUCACGGGGGCGCGAGCGCUGGCGCGACGUCGUUUGGCAACGAUAGAAACUUUUUAUUGUACAUGUUGUGUGAGGUGCUGUGUGUUGGGAAUAAUUUUUGAAUUUAAUCAUAAAAUUAUGAUUAAUGUUUUGGAGUCAUCACCUAAUAUUAUGGUCUCUAAGAACCUAUGGUCUGCGAGAGUUUAGGUAAGGGACUGGUUGUGCAAGGGAAAGAUGCAUCACCCUCAAUGCACCUUACCUAAGGUAAGCUGCAUUGUUGUUUUGAUCGGUUUUUUUAAAUCGUGUUUCUAUUCGUUAGUAUUUUAUAAGGCUCAAGACAAAUCUUUUUUCAUGAGAAAGUCUCUAUCUUAUUGGGUUAAAUCCUAACUGUUUUAAAAUUUAAAUUUUAGCAUCGUGUUUAUUUACACCUUAUAUAUUUAAUACCCGAGAAUGUACCUUUACAUAUGACAAAUAUUAAAGUUUACAUCUUGAAAUUGAUAAAAAUAUGAAAUUGAUUAUAUUUAGCAAUGAUGAGAGCAUUGACACAUAAAACGAGCAACUAAUCCUCACAAUAGUGUACUUACAUUAUGGUUCUUGUAGGGGUCGGAGGAGAGGAUAUGAUGACCUUUCCCUAACUUAAAAUAGUUGCAAAGUUCCUUUACAAAUGUCCAUUAUUUCUCAUCAAUGAUCCCCCUUAAAUUAAUUUGGUUCUUCUCCUCCACUGAAUAAUCCCUUUAAAAAAUCUAGAAAAAUAUUUUUAAAUUCAAAUUAAAUAGUUUAAUUAAUAGUGAUCAAUAGAAUCGAUGCUUACUUUCAUCAAGGCUCAUUUUUUUUUUUUUAAUUUCUCUAAUUUUUCUCACCUUCUUGUGUCCAUCUUUCCUGUGGAGUAAAAACAUUGUUAUAGUGAUUUCUAGAGCAAGUAUUAAUUGUGCUGGAGUUUAAAACAUCGUUAGCGAAAACUAUAGUAAUUGAAAUGAAAUAAUAAGGGCAGCUCCAACGGAGCUGCCAAAUGCAUAUGUAUUGUGCCUUUUAUUUCUUUAUUUUCAGUAUUUCAACGGCAGAGAUAAAUCAAUAGCCAAAAUGGCUGUUUGCUUUGUAAAGAGCUAUUUCUACAUUUAACUGUAGAAAUGGCCAAAAUGGCCAACGGCUUUUUUUUUUUUUUUUUAAACACAGAAAAUUUUGUCUAUAAAUACAUGAAAAAAAAACUUGUAGUUUUAAAUUUUUGUAUUGUGCCUCACCCUUCUCUCAAAUUUUAAAAAACAAGAAACGAUUAUUUUCUGGUUAAUUAUUAACAUCGAUUGUGUUAAUUAGCUGAAAUUAAAAGGUAUGCUUGUUUAAAAGCUUUUUCUAUUUUCGUUUUAAUAUCUCUUGAUUUUUUAGAACUUUUGUUGUUAAUUUAAUAUUUGUGAUGAGUUUUAUUUCUUUAUUAUUUUAUGUUUUUAAUAUGGGUUAAGGAAGACAAUUUUUAUUUAUGUUGUUAUCUUUGAUAAAAUUAAGAGAAAUUAAUAAUGGUAGUUGAUAUUGAUAAAAAGAUAGAGUUGCAUAUUUAAAAUUUAUUUUUGAUUGUCUGUUUUAAUUUGAGAUCAAUUAUAUAUUUGUCUUCUUGAAAAUGCAAUUAAACCAGUAUAUCGAUUCUAUUUUAGUUUCAAAAAAUGAUCAAAUUGUUAUGUUAGAACAAGUAGAAAGCAAUGCUUAUUAUUAAUUCGCAAGUAGAAGGCAACUUAUGAGUAAGUUAGGAGAUAUUCUCUCCCAACCAAGUGAUUCUCAUCAAUUAAUUGAUGACUUAACAUACUCGAAUUUAAAUGUCCAUUCGGCAAAAAAAUCACAAAGAAGUAAAAAUUUCUUACAAGAGGAGGAUUGUUUACUUGUCUCUGCAUGACUAAAUACAAGCAAGGAUCCAAUUACAGAAGUUGAUCAACAAACAAAACAGUUAUGGGCUCGCGUACAUGCUUACUUUGUAGAGAAUGGAGGAAACUUGAAUAAUCGUUCACAAAUAUGUUACAUAAUUAUUUUCAUUUUAAUAAUCGUACAUUUUAAAUUAUAUCUUUUAACUUUCAUAUUAUUUCAUUAAAUUUUAUAUUAUUUUUAUAAAUUACUAAUAUUAAUUAUAUAAUUAAUAACAUCAUAAUUAUAUUCUAUAUAAAAUAUCUAAAUUAGUUACAUAAUUAUAUAAAAAUGAAUUUAACAUGAAAUAUAUUAAAAUAUAAAUGACUUUUUUAAAUAGCUUUUUACCAUUGGAAUGCACAUAAUCAAAAAAGCUAUAUUUCUACUAUUUAAAAAGUUAUUUUAUUAAUUUAGCUUUUCAAUUUGUCUUUUUGCAUUGGAAAUGCUCUAAGAGCAAUAAUUUUGGUGCCCGACAAGCUAAAACUCCUUCCAAAAAUAGAGUUUUAAGCAAGUUAAGGACUCAAUUACCAACCUUAUAAACACCAUAUGGUCUCCCGAGGGAUGAUUAAUUGAGCUUUUUGGUCUUAAUUAGUGAUGAUUAAUAAUAACUAGACUAGUACUCUUGUUGAGAGUUCCAAGGGUUGUGUUGUCCCCCCCUCUCUUGCUAGUAGUGCUCCUCGCCCCACUACUAAAAAACACCAACUUCUCAAUAUGCUUUCUAUUUGAUUUCAUCUGUAGGCCACUACUCUUUGUUUUUUUGACUUUCAAAAUGACAUGAAAGACGAAAUAUGUGGAUCAAAAGUAUUGUUGAUUCACUUGAUUGAAUUCAAUGUUAUUAAAUACUGAAAUUAUAAAUUUAAUAAAUUAAUAUAUACAAAUUGAUCAAAAUAAUAUUAUUUCAAUAUUUAUUUUUAUUGGGUAAUAAUAAUAUACAAGUUAACCUGAAUUAGCUUCAAAUUAAUUAUUUUUUAAACCCAACUAGGUAUCAAAACUAUCAAAUUCCUUGCCUUGUUUGUCUACACACACUCAUAUAUAUAUAUAUAUAUAUAUAAACUUUCAAAGGGUCAUGAGGGACAAAAUAUGAGGAUCAAAAGGAUUGCACAUUCAAAUGUUGUUUGGUACCACGGAAAAAGAAAGAUGUUGGAGAAAGAACAGUACCCACUAUGAAAUAGUUAGUGCACAAGAAGAAGGUUGACAAUUAAUCCAUUCCAUUAUGCUUCCCACUGGAUUUUCUAGUGAGAUCGAUGGUAGAUAUUAAUUAGAUUCUGUCAUCCUCAAACCUAUUGUUUCGAGAGAGAAAAAAAAUCAGGGAACUUUGUUAAAUUUCCUAAUUAAUCUUAAUUUUAUAUGCGAAAUAGAGAUCAUUUAAUAUGUUUGAUUACAUUUAAUAAAAUCACUAAAUUUACCCUAACACUCAAGCAACUUAAUUAUAUGUUUUUCUCUUUAACUAUCAUAAAUGGGUUCUACUUUAUAAAAGAAGAUUAUAGCAAGAUAUUUAUAUAAUCUUGUUUAAAACUCUAAAAGUUGACAAUAAGUAUUAAUAUGAUCUUGCGGUAAAAUUGGUUUUAUAAUAACAAGCCAAAUUAGAGUUUCAGGGGUGGUGCUGUUGUUUUUAAAUUUAAAAAUAUAUAUAUAUUAAAAAAAUAAAAAAAUAUAUAAAAAAUUAUUUUUAUAUCAAAUCAAUCCAAAAAUAUAUAAAAAAUAAUUUUAUAUAGAAAGAAAUUUGAGUUUUUAUUAAACACAAUUUGACAUUUUUAUACUUGAAGAAAAAAAACCAACUAACAAAUAUCUUUAUCAUUAAAUAAAAUAAUAUUUUUUUCUAACAAAACUUUCGUUGAAUGUUAGACUACAUUAUAGUGGGAGUCCUAUUCCGAACAUAAGACUAGGGGUGAUUAUUUUCGGUUCGGUUCGGUUUUUACCUAAAAAAAACAACCAAAUCGAAAAAAAAGAAAAAGAAAAAAAGAGACCUGAAACCGAACCGGAACCGGCCCAAACCGGCCGAUUCCGGUCCGGUUUUUUAUCCAAAAAAUCGGACAAACCUAUAUGUAUUUUCUGGGCAUUAUCCUCCUUUCUUACUACAGUCGUUACAAAAUCCCCUCCAAUCCUCUGCUUUGAUCCGAUUACCAUCUCCUUUUAUCACCAUUACCAGCCUUGAACACCAUCAUCCCUGAUCCUAGCAGUGGCCAAUUUGUUGAUUAAAUUGGAGAAAAGAAAAGAAAACCUUGAAGAUUAGCCAACACAAUGUUUGGGUUUGCUGUCUGAAAUGGUCAAAAGAGAUAAUUCAAAUCUUAGAAUAACACGAAAGUGGGUUGUCAAGGACACAAGUUAUUUCUAGCUCAUCAGAUUCAUGAAACACGAUCAAGGGGCUAAAAAAUCUAGCCCCUGCUCCUUGGAAAUGCAGAGGUUCGAAUCACUGUGCAGAACCCCUGACAAACAAGAAGUCAACCAUGUUAGUCAUCUGAUAGCAUGGAUGUAAUCUACAAACAACUCUGUAUCCUGUCUGCCCCUGUUUGUUCUUCAUGCCUGGUGAUGAUUUCUGCAUUCAAUACGUCUGCAGUCAAUUUUAGUAUCAUAGAAGAGGAUCCGCUUGCAUUCAUCCCAUGGAAUGGCUUCUCUAGUGCAAAUUGGACCAGUGGAGACUGAGGAAACGUCGAUCUGUGAUUCAUUGAGAGCCUGAGAGUGAGAAGAGCUUGACAAUUGAAAUUGAAAUUUGAAAGUGUUUAUUGUUUACUAUUUAGGGGUUAGCGGAGAGUAAAAUGAAGACUGAAGAGAAGAGAAAGGAGAGGCGCGGCGUGGGUAGCAACAUUUUCUUUUUAUACUAGGGCGUAGGGACCCUUUUUUUUUUAACUGGUUAGGUUCGGUCCGGUUCAUCCGGUUUUUGCACUGCAAAACCGAAAACCGAACCGAACCGGGGUUUUUCCUACAUAAUCUAAUCGGUUUUAUUUUUUUGUUCAGUUUUUUCGGUUAAUUUUUUAUCGAUUUUAUCAGUUUACUCGAUUUUUCGGUUUUUUUGAACACCCCUACAUAAGACCCUAAAUAAAUGUUAUAAAACUACUUGGACAAUAUCGUUUCAAGUGAAAGUAAAGGCCAUUAUGAUGGCAUUAGGUAAGCUGAAAAUGGCUAACAUAGUUGAAGCCAUGCAAAAGGUUGUUCUAGCUCUCUUUUUUCCACACAUGCAUACAAUUACCUGUGCUUGUUUGAUGCUGCAUAAAAACAGUGUAGUUGACUUUGAAACUGUUGGCUAAAAGUUAAUGCAUUUCAUCAUCAUGCUGUAGCUAUUGGGUGGGAGAACUGCAUCACCAUAGCUCUUAAUGGCACUCUCUACCACCAACCAUAAAAGGCAGUCUUCCCCUUCCUCUCUUGCUAAGGCCAUAGCCAUUAUCUUAACAAGAACACUGAGAUUUAGCCAUGGCUCUUUCUCUUGGGAUGAUCAAGACUUUUCUUCUGGUUUCCCUUUUACUCCUUGCUCCCUUGUCUUCAGGUUCGUAUUUAAUUUCUCAACAUUAGCUUAAAUUCAUUCCCAACUUAUGAUCAUAAAUUAGCUUACCAAAGAGUGUUUUGUUUCACAUAAUUUGUAGGUUUGGUUGAGGGCUUCGAUGAAGGAAUGAACUCGUAUCCCUCACUUCACCAGGUAGCCUAAAAGCUUUCUGUUUAUCUCAUAUAUAUUUCCUAUAUUGCGACACCGCUGGAAUAAUUACACCAAUAAUUGCAUUGAUAUAACAUAUUAUUGUUUAUAUAUAUUGUCUCUUGUAAAGGAUGGCGGCAUCCAAGUGAAUACAAGAAGCUUUUGCUGGACGAGCUGGAUUAUGGCGAGACUGGACCUAACCGUAGACAUGACCCGAGGGGGAGACCUGGUGUUGGUGGCUACAAGAACCCUUGAAUUCUCUUGAGCCAUUAUCUAUAUAUUAUGUAUCCUCUGGAGGUUUUGUUCAUGCAUGAUCAGUCAGGAGAUAUAAUAUUGCAUUUCAAAACUAUCUUUAUGUAGUAG
rnacentral:lncRNA from 1 species